GAUGAAUGCUGGCGGCGUGCCUAAUACAUGCAAGUCGAGCGGUAAGGCCCUUCGGGGUACACGAGCGGCGGACGGCUGAGUAACGCGUGGGAACAUGCCCCAAAGUGAGGGAUAACGCACCGAAAGGUGUGCUAAUACCGCAUAUGGUCUUCGGAUUAAAGGAUUUAUCCGCUUUGGGAGUGGCCCGCGUACGAUUAGAUUGUUGGUGAGGUAACGGCUCACCAAGUCGACGAUCGUUAACUGGUCUGAGAGGAUGAUCAGUCAGACUGGAACUGAGACACGGUCCAGACUCCUACGGGAGGCAGCAGUAAGGAAUCUUCCACAAUGGGCGAAAGCCUGAUGGAGCAACGCCGCGUGCAGGAUGAAGGCCCUCGGGUCGUAAACUGCUUUAUGAGUGAAGAAUAUGACGGUAACUCAUGAAUAAGCACCGGCUAACUACGUGCCAGCAGCCGCGGUAU
rnacentral:rRNA from 1 species